rnacentral:rRNA from 1 species
GACGAACGCUGGCGGCGUGCUUAACACAUGCAAGUCGAACGGUAAGGCCCUUCGGGGUACACGAGUGGCGAACGGGUGAGUAACACGUGGGUGAUCUGCCCUGCACUUCGGGAUAAGCCUGGGAAACUGGGUCUAAUACCGGAUAGGACCAUGGACUUCACGGUUUGUGGUGGAAAGCUUUUGCGGUGUGGGAUGGGCCCGCGGCCUAUCAGCUUGUUGGUGGGGUAAUGGCCUACCAAGGCGACGACGGGUAGCCGGCCUGAGAGGGUGUCCGGCCACACUGGGACUGAGAUACGGCCCAGACUCCUACGGGAGGCAGCAGUGGGGAAUAUUGCACAAAUGGGCGCAAGCCUGAUGCAGCGACGCCGCGUGAGGGAUGACGGCCUUCGGGUUGG